rnacentral:rRNA from 1 species
AACGCUGGCGGCAGGCCUAACACAUGCAAGUCGAACGGUAGCACAGGAGAGCUUGCUCUCUGGGUGACGAGUGGCGGACGGGUGAGUAAUGCAUGGGGAGCUGCCCAGUCGAGGGGGAUACCAGCUGGAAACGGCUGCUAAUACCGCAUACGCCCUGAGGGGGAAAGGUGGGGACCUUCGGGCCUACCGCGAUUGGAUGCACCCAUGUGGGAUUAGCUAGUUGGUGAGGUAACGGCUCACCAAGGCGACGAUCUCUAGCUGGUCUGAGAGGAUGACCAGCCACACUGGAACUGAGACACGGCCCGGACUCCUACGGGAGGCAGCAGUGGGGAAUAUUGCGCAAUGGGGGCAACCCUGACGCAGCCAUGCCGCGUGUGUGAAGAAGGCCUUCGGGUUGUAAAGCACUUUCAGUGGGGAGGAAAGGGCGCUGGCUAAUAUCCAGUGCAGUUGACGCUACCCACAGAAGAAGCACCGGCUAAUUCCGUG